AAUUCUCAAUCAGUUAUAGUCACUUUUACAAAAGGACCCCCAAAACACACACAUCCGUAUUAUUAUAGUAUCUUAAGAGCAGAACAACGUGGGGAUGUAGCUCAGAUGGUAGAGCGCUCGCUUAGCAUGCGAGAGGUACGGGGAUCAUCGAUACCCCGCAUCUCCAUUUUUUCCUCUUUUUUUUUUUUAUAACCCACACUACGUAAGUAUCAAAUUCAACUGUAAAUAGCAAAUACCUAUUGAAAAAAGUUUGUUCUGUUUCUUGACACACAAAGAAAGAAGAAGAUGAAAGCAAUUAACAUACGAUCGUGCUAGUGAGGUAAAAGCUUUCCACAAGGUGGAAGAAAGGCGUAAGUAAAAUCCGUAUCCUUCCAUCACCUUCAUCAUCUCAAUAUAAUCGACUCAACUCCACUUGUUUCGUCAACAACCAUAGUUAUCCAAACGAUCGAUCUCAAAGGAAGUGUGUUCGAGUCGACGGUCACACGAAAGAACGUAGCCUCGAUGAUCAAAGACGCGGUUGAGAUAUACGGAUUUUUUCAGGUGACUAACCAUGAGAUUUCAGUUGAAUAAGUUAUGGAUAAGAUAAAAGAUGGGACUUAAGAAAUGAGGAAAAAAGUUUUAUACUCGUGAUAUCACCGAAAAGGUUACGUAUAAUUUCGAUCUUUAUAGCUCUCCUUCAGCGAACUGGAGAGAUACCGUGAGGCCCUGAUGCUCCAAAACAGAUGACUUACCAGAGAGAUUUGCGGGGAAAUCAUGUUGGAGUAUUCGAAACGAGUGAUGAAAAUAGAGAAUACUAAUCUUUGAGCUUUUAUAAGAAGCUUUAGGGCUGAAUGAACCCUAACCACUUGAAAGAUAUGGAUUGCACAAAAGGUCUGUUCAUGCUUUCUCACUACUACCCGCCUUGUCCUGAUCGAGCCUGAUUUAACUUUCCGCACAAGUCAGCAUUCAUGCAGAUCUUUUCUCACUAUUCUUCUUCUAGAUCACAUUGGUGGUGGGCUUCAAGUUCUUCAAAAUGGUUAUUGGGUCGACGUUCAUUUACAGGCAAGUCGUUAUUGAGACACUAAUCAAAGCGUACGUACGUAUAACGGACGACUAGUUUGUGAGCAUGGAGCAUAGAGUUUGGCUAAUAAAGGUGAAAAGCCGUGGAUCUCAUUCGCAUCUUUCUUUGCGCAUCCUUUACCGACUUUACGAGUUCAUGGACCGAUAAAAGAGCUUCUGUUUGAGAAAAGCCUUCCCAAGUAUGAAGUGUAAAGACACCACUGUGACUGGGUGGACAAGUCAUUACAUGAUUGAGUGUGAAUACUAAAUUUUCAAGGAUGUGACGCUGUUUGGAAAUUAUAAUUAAGAAUUAAUAUUUUAGUAGUUAUAUAACCUUUUUUGGUUAGUUUAAGGUUUUCUUUCUCC